rnacentral:rRNA from 1 species
GUGUCAGCCGCCGCGGUAAUACGGAGGUGGCAAGCGUUGUUCGGAAUUACUGGGCGUAAAGGGCGCGUAGGCGGCAAGGCAAGUCAGGUGUGAAAGCCCCGAGCUUAACUCGGGAAUUGCAUCUGAAACUGCUGUGCUUGAGUUCUGGAGGGGGUAGUGGAAUUCCCAGUGUAGCGGUGAAAUGCGUAGAUAUUGGGAGGAACACCUGCGGCGAAGGCGGCUACCUGGACAGAAACUGACGCUGAGGCGCGAAAGCUAGGGGAGCGAACGGGAUUAGAAACCCCCGUAGUCC